rnacentral:tRNA from 1 species
GCCCUGCUAGCUCAAUCGGUAGAGCGUGAGACUUUUACAAUAUCUCAAGGCUGCGGGUUCGAGCCCCGCGUGGGGCU